rnacentral:rRNA from 1 species
CGGUGUUCAACUGGCGUGUCCGCGGGACGUCCUGCCGGUGGGCUUAGCCCGCAAGGGCGGCCCAACUUCAAAUCCCAUCGCGGUGCUCUUCACUGAGUGUCGAGGUGGGCCGGCACGUUUACUUUGAACAAAUUAGAGUGCUUAAAGCAGGCUAAAACUUCGCCUGAAUACUGUGUGCAUGGAAUAAUGGAAUAGGACCUCGGUUCUAUUUUGUUGGUUUUCGGAACCUCGAGGUAAUGAUUAAUAGGAACGGAUGGGGGCAUUCGUAUUGCGACGUUAGAGGUGAAAUUCUUGGAUCGUCGCAAGACGGACAGAAGCGAAAGCAUUUGCCAAAAACGCUUUCAUUGAUCAAGAACGAAAGUUAGAGGUUCGAAGGCGAUCAGAUACCGCCCUAGUUCUAACCAUAAACGAUGCCAGCUAGCGAUCCGUCGACGUUCCUCCGAUGACUCGACGGGCAGCUUCCGGGAAACCAAAGCUUUUGGGUUCCGGGGGAAGUAUGGUUGCAAAGCUGAAACUUAAAGGAAUUGACGGAAGGGCACCACCAGGAGUGGAGCCUGCGGCUUAAUUUGACUCAACACGGGAAACCUCACCAGGCCCGGACACCGGAAGGAUUGACAGAUUGAGAGCUCUUUCUUGAUUCGAUGGGUGGUGGUGCAUGGCCGUUCUUAGUUGGUGGAGCGAUUUGCCUGGUUAAUUCCGAUAACGAACGAGACUCUAGCCUGCUAACUAGGCGUAUUUUCGACAUCUCAAAGGUCCGUCGUCCCGGCCCUCGGGUCGUGGGCGUGCGCGAUUUUUACUGUCGGCGUACUAUCAAUUCUUCUUAGAGGGACAGGUGGCUUCUAGCCGCACGAGAUUGAGCAAUAACAGGUCUGUGAUG